rnacentral:rRNA from 1 species
AACGAACGCUGGCGGCAGGCCUAACACAUGCAAGUCGAGCGCGCCCUUCGGGGUGAGCGGCGGACGGGUGAGUAACGCGUGGGAACGUGCCCUUUUCUACGGAAUAGCCUCGGGAAACUGAGAGUAAUACCGGAUACGCCCUUUGGGGGAAAGAUUUAUCGGAAAAGGAUCGGCCCGCGUUGGUUUAGGUAGGUGGUGGGGUAAUGGCCUACCAAGCCGACGAUCCAUAGCUGGUUUGAGAGGAUGAUCAGCCACACUGGGACUGAGACACGGCCCAGACUCCUACGGGAGGCAGCAGUGGGGAAUCUUAGACAAUGGGGGCAACCCUGAUCUAGCCAUGCCGCGUGAGUGAUGAAGGCCUUAGGGUUGUAAAGCUCUUUCAGCUGGGAAGAUAAUGACGGUACCAGCAGAAGAAGCCCCGGCUAACUCCGUG